GGGCCCAUAGCUCAAUGGUUAGAGCAGCGGACUCAUAAUCCGUUGGUUGGGGGUUCAAGUCCCUCUGGGCCCA
rnacentral:tRNA from 1 species